GACGAACGCUGGCGGCGUGCCUAACACAUGCAAGUCGAACGGGACUUGAGGGGCUUGCUCCUUAAGUUUAGUGGCGAACGGGUGAGUAACGCGUGAGGAACCUGCCUUUCAGUGGGGGACAACAGUUGGAAACGACUGCUAAUACCGCAUAACAUAAUCGAACCGCAUGAUUUGAUUAUCAAAGCUUUAUGUGCUGAAAGAUGGCCUCGCGUCUGAUUAGCUAGUUGGAGGGGUAACGGCCCACCAAGGCGACGAUCAGUAGCCGGUCUGAGAGGAUGAACGGCCACAUUGGGACUGAGAUACGGCCCAGACUCCUACGGGAGGCAGCAGUGGGGAAUAUUGGGCAAUGGGGGAAACCCUGACCCAGCAACGCCGCGUGAAGGAAGAAGGCUUUCGGGUUGUAAACUUCUUUUACCAGGGACGAAGAACGUGACGGUACCUGGAGAAAAAGCAACGGCUAACUACGUGCCAGCCGCCGCAGUAAGAC
rnacentral:rRNA from 1 species